AAAUUGAAGAGUUUGAUCAUGGCUCAGAUUGAACGCUGGCGGCAGGCCUAACACAUGCAAGUCGAACGGUAACAGGAAGCAGCUUGCUGCUUCGCUGACGAGUGGCGGACGGGUGAGUAAUGUCUGGGAAACUGCCUGAUGGAGGGGGAUAACUACUGGAAACGGUGGCUAAUACCGCAUAACGUCGCAAGACCAAAGAGGGGGACCUUCGGGCCUCUUGCCAUCAGAUGUGCCCAGAUGGGAUUAGCUUGUUGGUGAGGUAACGGCUCACCAAGGCGACGAUCCCUAGCUGGUCUGAGAGGAUGACCAGCCACACUGGAACUGAGACACGGUCCAGACUCCUACGGGAGGCAGCAGUGGGGAAUAUUGCACAAUGGGCGCAAGCCUGAUGCAGCCAUGCCGCGUGUAUGAAGAAGGCCUUCGGGUUGUAAAGUACUUUCAGCGGGGAGGAAGGUGUUGUGGUUAAUAACCACAGCAAUUGACGUUACCCGCAGAAGAAGCACCGGCUAACUCCGUGCCAGCAGCCGCGGUAAUACGGAGGGUGCAAGCGUUAAUCGGAAUUACUGGGCGUAAAGCGCACGCAGGCGGUCUGUCAAGUCGGAUGUGAAAUCCCCGGGCUCAACCUGGGAACUGCAUUCGAAACUGGCAGGCUUGAGUCUUGUAGAGGGGGGUAGAAUUCCAGGUGUAGCGGUGAAAUGCGUAGAGAUCUGGAGGAAUACCGGUGGCGAAGGCGGCCCCCUGGACAAAGACUGACGCUCAGGUGCGAAAGCGUGGGGAGCAAACAGGAUUAGAUACCCUGGUAGUCCACGCCGUAAACGAUGUCUACUUGGAGGUUGUGCCCUUGAGGCGUGGCUUCCGGAGCUAACGCGUUAAGUAGACCGCCUGGGGAGUACGGCCGCAAGGUUAAAACUCAAAUGAAUUGACGGGGGCCCGCACAAGCGGUGGAGCAUGUGGUUUAAUUCGAUGCAACGCGAAGAACCUUACCUGGUCUUGACAUCCACAGAACUUUCCAGAGAUGGAUUGGUGCCUUCGGGAACUGUGAGACAGGUGCUGCAUGGCUGUCGUCAGCUCGUGUUGUGAAAUGUUGGGUUAAGUCCCGCAACGAGCGCAACCCUUAUCCUUUGUUGCCAGCGGUCCGGCCGGGAACUCAAAGGAGACUGCCAGUGAUAAACUGGAGGAAGGUGGGGAUGACGUCAAGUCAUCAUGGCCCUUACGACCAGGGCUACACACGUGCUACAAUGGCGCAUACAAAGAGAAGCGACCUCGCGAGAGCAAGCGGACCUCAUAAAGUGCGUCGUAGUCCGGAUUGGAGUCUGCAACUCGACUCCAUGAAGUCGGAAUCGCUAGUAAUCGUGGAUCAGAAUGCCACGGUGAAUACGUUCCCGGGCCUUGUACACACCGCCCGUCACACCAUGGGAGUGGGUUGCAAAAGAAGUAGGUAGCUUAACCUUCGGGGGGGCGCUUACCACUUUGUGAUUCAUGACUGGGGUGAAGUCGUAACAAGGUAACCGUAGGGGAACCUGCGGUUGGAUCACCUCCUUA
rnacentral:rRNA from 1 species